GUUUUCUCAACCUUGGUUGCUACUUGUGAGUGACCUCUGUCUUUCCUUUGUAUCACCAGCACCCUAUCAGCUGGCUGGUGCAGGAGAUGGCUAGUGUUCUGAAGGAGCAGAAGGCUGUGAGCUGUGUGUCAGAGAAGGCCAAGUGGUGGGACAGGAGAAGGGCCCUGAACACACAGAUGGAGAGGCUGCUGGAGGAGAUGGAGGGGUUACUGGGCUGCUGGAGGAGAUGGAGGGGUUACUGGGCUGCUGGCGGUGGCUCCUCCUACCCCUGACCGGUGUCCCUGAGCUGUCUGUCCAGGUCAAACGCCUUCAGAAGACUCUCACUGCCUGGGGGGCACUGACCUCAGAGGAGAUGCUCAAGGCUGUGCUGUCUGCCUCUCCUCUGCUCUCCCAGUCCCAGCUGCAGUGGUUUGCCCAGGGAGUGUGUGGAGCAGGGGAAGGAGUGUUUGGACCUUCUGCAGACAACUGCGGUUGUACUGGCAGAGAGGCCCGAGUCCACAAGGACACGUGGUACUCAUCUUGGACAGGAUGGGAGUCUCUCACACUUGCACCCUACACUCAAAUCGACUCUAAUGUGCAAGAUCAACGUACAAAGCGGAAUGAUGCACUUUCUUUGUGUAGAGGAGAGUUGAGGAAAGUCUACCGUGGCAUGAACACAUUGCCUAUGAGUGUGACUGCUGUGAUAACGCCCAGUGAAAUAUUUGUCUUGUCCUAUCUUGCAGUACCUCCAGAAGCUGCUAUGGGAGAGCAUCUCCUGCCUCAGGCCUCGCUCUGUCACCCACAUGCCCUCUCUACACUCACUGCUUGGCCACUGUGCUCUAAGAGAGGUCAAACCGCACACACACACGUCUCUCUCUUUCUCUUCUGGCCCUCAGUCUGACCGGGAAUCUCCUGAAUGGAGGUGUGGAGCCCAAGCAGGUGUUCUACGUGCUCAACCUUGAUGACAACUUGUAGUUCACCAGAGGCCUUUUACGGUUCCUGGACUGGCAGAGGAUCCUGAAAGAGAUGAGAGAUGUUUCUAUGCUCUUUGGCUGGCAGUAUCAUCCUCAACUACCUCAUGGCUGGCUGGGAAGACUGACACACACAGACCUAUAAAGAUCAAGAGAAAAAACAGGCUUUCAUCAUUUUUUUCAGAAAUCAUUGCAAAGGAGGGCAUUUCCUGUAUUCUGUUUUACUGCCAUACACUGACCCCAAACAAUCCUAGAUUAACUUGCCUGUCUGUGUGUGAUUUUGCCUGUCUGUGUGUGAUUUUGACAUGUAGCCCAUUGGUUCUGGGGAGCCUGUGGGAUGUGAUUGACCGAGACAUUUACAGCUUCACCAAGGCCCUGCUGGAGUCCUGGCUGUCUGCAGGUCCCGGGGCUCCACUCCUAGACCACAUGGGGCGGCAAGUAGCCUAGUGGUUAGAGCAUUGGACCAGUAACCGAAAGAUUGCUAGAUUGAAUCCCCGACCUGACAAGGCCUCAAGCACCCGUGGUCUACGGACUCCCCUCCCCCCUGCGAUAGGAUGAAAGGCCAUCCCCAAACACACAAACUUUAAUGAAUUUAGUAACGCCACUGAUCCCCAAAACAUGAAUUGGAGGAUGUGAUUUUAGACUUGCUUGUGUGUAUUAUCUGCUAAGGCUGCCUUCUUAAAUGUAAACAAUGUUGUAUCCUUUGAUUUUCAUUUUUUAAAUGCUAGUGAAAUGUGUACAUAAAUGUAUUAAUAAAUGCUUGAC
rnacentral:lncRNA from 1 species